rnacentral:misc_RNA from 1 species
GCAAACUUGGUCAUUUAGAGGAAGUAAAAGUCGUAACAAGGUCUCCGUAGGUGAACCUGCGGAGGGAUCAUUACUGAGCGAGGGCCCCAGGCCCGACCUCCCACCCUUGAAGUCACAUCAGACGAUCCGGUGCCUCGGGGGCGACCCGGCCUCGGCAGGGCCCCCCGGCGGACGACCGCCCAACUCUGAGACACGUCGUCCACCUAAAGAAACACAAUUGAAGCAAAACUUUCAACAAUGGAUCUCUUGGUUCUGGCAUCGAUGAAGAACGCAGC